rnacentral:rRNA from 1 species
GUAGGUGGCAAGCGUUGUCCAGAAUUAUUGGGCGUAAAGCGCGCGCAGGCGGUUCUUUAAGUCUGAUGUGAAAGCCCACGGCUCAACCGUGGAGGGUCAUUGGAAACUGGAGAACUUGAGUACAGAAGAGGAAAGCGGAAUUCCACGUGUAGCGGUGAAAUGCGUAGAGAUGUGGAGGAACACCAGUGGCGAAGGCGGCUUUCUGGUCUGUAACUGACGCUGAGGCGCGAAAGCGUGGGGAGCAAACAGGAUUAGAUACCCUGGUAGUCCACGCCGUAAACGAUGAGUGCUAAGUGUUAGGGGGGUUUUCCGCCCCCCUUAGUGCUGCAGCUAACGCAUUAAGCACUCCGCCUGGGAGUACGGCCGCAAGGCUG